ncrna:Drosophila yakuba microRNA dya-mir-87 precursor
CAUUCGCGCCUGUAUCUUGCUGAACCGUUACAAUUAUGGUCUUCGAUCCGGUUGAGCAAAAUUUCAGGUGUGUGAGAAA